AAAAAAAAAACCUUUCUACAAGACUCAUGCAACACAUAGAGAAAGAAAGUACUGCAAAAUCCGGCAGCACCUCCCUUGAAAGUAGCAUAACAAGGGAAGCAUAUAGUUUAUACAGGAUAUAAAAGAAAGAUAAUUGCCAUAGUAUAAUCAAAAUGCAACGGUAGAAAAAAACAUUCAUGACCAGACAAAAGAUAGACAUCUCAGCCCACCAAACUAAACAGUUCAACUACCAUGAAAGAUUAGAAUGUAAUAAUUCCCUAGACUUGACCCUUCCUGUUUAACAUCAUUAAUAAACAGUUAUUCCUUUAUUUAAAAGUGUGGUGGCCGUGCUGCUACAUCCCUUCUUCCCCAAAGCAAAGAUCAGGUGCCUGCAUCAGACAAUGCAAGAGUGAGAUGACACAUCUCAGCAAGUAAAAAAAACAAACAACAGUUGGACAAUGCAAGCCAACCGUGCAUAAGCAACCACAUGGUUCCCCACUUCUUCCUUAAAUAUUAAUUUGCAGCAAGUAAGCAAGUAAUCAAUUACUCAAUGCCAAGAUGAAUUACAAAGUAAAGAUCCACCUUAUCCACAUCACCAAAAUAGGUUCCACACUUCACCCAUGAAUGCACAUGGCUACAGAUGCAACAUGACUUCUGCCUUCAUACCUCUAAGGAUAUGAAGCUGCAUCAUACCCCUUCUCGGGAAACAUAUGAUGCUCAUUUGUACCGGUACGGUCGGACCAUAAGAUCGCGACGAAAACUUCAAUGCAAUGGAUGAUGAAUGCAUUAUGCAUGUCAACAACAUGAGUUCUUCCCAAAUAAAAUGUGCUAGACAUAUACUUCCACCCAUUUCACAUCAAUAACCACAUGGGUAACAUGAUCAAACCACACCCUCCACAUGUAUAAUCAAUAAAGCAUAAAUAAUUUCAAACGAUGGUACCCAAUUAGGAAAAUGGAUAUGAACACAAAUAGCACAAACAUAAUCAAGUAUGAGCCUCUUCAAUCAAAAGACGAAAUAACCAUCACUGUUUUACUUGCCUUUACCGAAGUUAGGGCAAAAUCCCUAAGAACGAUCCGGAAGUCCACCACCUGUUUUUGACACCCAACUUAGUGCACCAAAUUCUCAUGAAAAAAAACUCAAAGACAACACCGCACCUACGCGCAAUCUCAAACCCCGCCACGGUAACAAUUCUCCCCUCACUAACCAAACUGCAGCGGCGCUGCUUAACAAGUCCAUAACUUAAAAUUUAGGACAGCAGUGAUAAUAAACAAAAACUUCAGAGACAACUACAUAAAAUUCCCCACAAGUUUUAUAUACAACUCAUGAUUGAAUUCUAACAUCUACUUACCUCUAAACGGUCCUCAAAAUAAACCCUGCAAUCUGUUUUUUUCUGAUUUGAGCAGCGACAUACGCGGAUUCAAACAGCGAUAACUUUUAAAAUAUAAUUCCGAUUUGAGCGCAUAAGUACUUGUUGGAAAGAUAAGAAAAAGCCCUACAUGAUUCUCAUACUGAUUAACACUAAUUACUCCCGAAACAUCCCCAGAAACUGCUAACACUGCUGCUGUUCAUCACUCUGAAAAAUCUGUUUUCUGGACAGCCACAUACCCGGAUUCAAACGAUGAUAACUUUUAAUUUAUAACUCCAAAUUGAGCGCAUAAAUACUCGUUGGAAAGAUAAAACAAAGUUCUACAAGAUUCUAAUACUGAUUAACACUAAUUGCUCCCGAAAAAUUCCCAGAAACUGCUAACACUGCUGCUGUUCAUCACUCUGAAAAAUCUGUUUUCUGGACAGCCACAUACCCGGAUUCAAACGAUGAUAACUUUUAAUUUAUAACUCCAAAUUGAGCGCAUAAAUACUCGUUGGAAAGAUAAAACAAAGUUCUACAAGAUUCCCAAAUUGAUCCCCAUUAAAUCUUCACGAAAAAAAACUAAAAACUGCUGGAACUACCGCUGUUCAUCCACCACGCAAAAUUCUGGACAGCCCCCCCCCUCUAUCUAAUCGCAAACGCAACAUCUAAACCAUUGAAUCGCAGCGCAAAUGAACAAGGGAUGAACACAAAAGAAAAAUCACCUUGGGUUCUCCCCUUUUCCUUCCUCCCUUCUUCCUUCCACCAAAAUGAUUGGAGAUUCGCACCAAAAGACGAUGAUCCGAGCGGCACGGAGUAGCACCUAGGGAGGAGGGGAUUGGGGGGGGGGGCGGCUAGGGUUUUGGUGGCUGCAACAAUGGAGGGAGGAGGAGGUGGACAGGGGGGGGCGGCGGCCAAGGGGAAAUGAGGAGUGGGGGGGGGGGGCGGCAGCCUUGAGGGGGAGUAGAUAGGAGGGUGGCGGCUAGGGUUUGGGAGGCCUAAUGGGCCGAAACACCAAUUGCGGCCCAACUAACCCACGCGACAGCUCCCGACCGCAACGCAAAUGUCAAACCAAAAAAAAUCUACUGCCCUAGUUGCGAAUGUUAUUCACAAAAUUCCAAAUCCCCAAAACAACAACUGGAUGAGGAAAAAAAAACAAAAAAAACAACCCCCAACUUCUCUUCUUUGCAAACCGGGUAUCACAUUCUACCCCUCUUAAAAAGAAUUCGUCCUCGAAUUCUGACGCUUCUAUCGGAAUGACACAAGAAAAGCUUAGCAAAUCAACAACACUUACCCACAACGAAAAGUUCCGGGUACUUCUGCCGCAUCAACUCCUCAAGUUCCCACGUAGCCUCGCGCUCUGACUGAUUAGACCAUAAGACCUUGACAUACUUAAUUGAUCUCUUCCUCAACACACGCUCCGAGAAUUCCAAAAUACGCACCGGACGACACUCCAGAGUCAGAUCCUGCUGCACCGCAAUUGGUUCCAUCUCAAUCUGAUGGUCUGGAUCCCGCAAGAACUUCCUCAACAUAGAGACAUGAAAAACCGGGUGUACCCCUGCCAUGGAAUCCGGCAGCAGCAAGCGAUAAGCCAGGCUGCCCACUCGGGCCAAGAUAGUGAACGGUCCAAUGUAUCUUGGGCUGAGCUUCCCAGAGACACCGAACCGAACAACUCCCUUAGUGGGUGAUACCCUGAGAAGGACUUGGUCACCCACAGCAAAUUCCAGAUCCCGCCUCCUCACAUCAGCAUAACUCUUCUGACGACUCUGAGCUGCCAAAAUAUUCUGACGAAUUUCCCGAACCUUUUCAGAAGUUUGCUGAACCCAAUCAGGACCAACCAGGGAUCUCUCUCCCAAAGUCUCCCAGCACAGAGGAGAGAUACACCGCCUGCAUACAAAGCCUCAAAUGGUGCCAUCUUGAUGCUAGCUUGGUAGCUGUUGUUAUACGCAAACUCUGCUAGAGCAAGAUGAUCCUCCCAGCUACCCUUCCAUGACAGAACACAAGCACGCAACAUAUCCUCCAAGGUUUGGAUUGUUCGCUCUGACUGACCAUCCGUCUGAGGAUGAAAAGCGACACUAAGCGAAAGCUUGGUGCCCAAUGCACUGUGGAGACUCUCCCAGAAUUUGGAUACAAAUUUGGAGUCUCGAUCAGAAACAAUAGACUUAGGUAUCCCGUGAAGCCUGACUACUUCCUUCAUAUACAAGGGAACCAAAUCUGAAGCUGAAUUCGUGGUCUUCAUGGGAAUAAAAUGCGCAGACUUAGUCAAGCGAUCCACUACCACCCAAAUAGCAUCCCUGCCACGAGGGGAACGAGGUAGACCCACCACAAAAUCCAUGGUGAUAUGCUCCCAUUUCCACUCUGGAAUUUCCAAUGGCUUCAGCAAACCUGCAGGCCGCUUAUGUUCGGCCUUCACGCGCUGACAUACUUCACAGGCGGCCACAAACUUAGAAAUGUCAACCUUCAUCCGCUUCCACCAGAAGUUUUGCUUCAAAUCUCGGUACAUUUUGGUUUCGCCAGGAUGGACGGUGUAAGGCGUUUUAUGAGCUUCUCGCAGGAUAUCCAGCUUCACCUCUGAUUUCUGAGGCACACAAAGACGGCCCCUGAAACGAACCAAAUCAUUCUCAUCAAUGGUGAACUCCCGCGGUUUACCAUCACCAACCCUCCUUCGGGCUUCCUGCAAAAGACGAUCCUGCUGCUGAGCCGCACGCACUCUCUCCAUAAGUGAGGAUUGAAUAAGCAUCUGAGUCUCCUCGCUAGCGGUGCCGACAUAACACAAAGCGAUCCCCAAACGGUCCAGAUCAGCGAUCAACGGCAAGGCCACCUUUGGAACCCCGGACCUGCUAAGGGCAUCCGCCACCACAUUAGCCUUCCCCGGGUGAUAAUGAAUGGACAAAUCAUAAUCUUUAAUCAAUUCUAGCCACCGACGCUGCCUCAAAUUCAGCUCCUUCUGAGUAAAAAUAUACUUGAGACUUUUGUGAUCAGUGAAAAUGUCACAAGCCUCGCCAUAAAGGUAAUGCCUCCACGACUUUAGAGCAAAAACCACCGCAGCCAAUUCCAAAUCAUGAGUUGGAUAAUUCCCCUCAUGCUUCCUCAACUGCCUUGAGCCAUAAGCAAUCACCCUGCCUUCCUGCAUCAGCACACAGCCAAGACCAAUACGCGAAGCAUCCGUAUAAACUGUGAAACGCUUACCGCUCUCAGGCAAAGCUAGGAUAGGGGCGUCCACCAACUUGCUCUUCAAUGACUGAUAACUGAUCUCACAAUCGCCGGACCAGACGAAGGGAACACCCUUCCCCAAGAGCCUAGUCAAAGGCUUAGCAAUGCUGGAAAAAUUUGGUACGAAACGCCGAUAAUACCCAGCAAGCCCCAAGAAACUUCGGAUUUCAGAGACACUAGAAGGUCUCUUCCACUCCACUACAGCCGCAACAUUCUUGGGGUCAACCGCAAUACCCUGCUGAUUAAUCACGUGCCCCAGGAAAGCCACCUCAGAUAGCCAAAAGGCACACUUCUUCAACUUGCCAUAGAAUUGAUUCUUCCUUAGGGCACCCAGAACGAGACGGAGAUGCUGAUCAUGCUCGGCCUCGGUCUUUGAAUAAAUCAAAAUAUCAUCUAGGAAUACGACCACAAAAUCGUCCAAGAAUUCAUGCAGCAUCCUAUUCAUUGCUUCCAUAAACGCAGCAGGGGCAUUAGUUAAGCCAAAGGACAUGACUAUGAACUCAUAAUGCCCAUACCUGGUGCAGAAGGCAGUCUUCUCAAUAUCCUCCUCACGAAUCCUCAAUUGAUGAUAACCAGAGUUCAAAUCAAUUUUGGAGAACACCUGGGCACCCCUCAACUGCUCAAAGAGGACCUCAAUUCGGGGAAGCGGAUAUUUAUUCUUGAUUGUCACUUGAUUCAAAGCGCGAUAAUCCACACACAGCCGCUUGCUUUUAUCCUUCUUCUCAACAAACAAUACUGGGGAAGCCCAUGGAGACCUGCUAGGCCUAAUGAAGCCCUUAGCCAGCAGAUCAUCCAAUUGCCGCUUUAAUUCAAUCUGCUCCUUUGGAGCCAUUCGAUACGGGGCCUUAUGAAUAGGCUGCGUACCCGGGAUCAGCUUAAUCUCAAAAGCUGCAUCGCGCUCCGGAGGAAUGCCUGGAAGCUCUGCUGGAAACACGUCAGCAAAGUCACACACCACCCGGAUGUCCUACACCAGCAAGGCAGCCUCGCCCUCCACCACCAUAGAGAAAAAGAUCCCCGACUUCCUUGACCAGCGAUCAGGAAGCAAUUGCGCCAACAAGGAUAAUGUGAACUUCAGAGAACUUCCCAAGAAUACCACCUCCUUACCCGACGGCGCCUGCAAUAACACUGUCUUCCAGAAGCAGGAUAUAACCGCGCGAUACUGGGAUAACCAAUCCAUACCCAAGAUAACAUCGAAUGCCCCCAAGGAAAUCACCACCAGAUUAGCCGAAAAAACCUCAUCUGCAAGAAUGACGGAACACCCCUGACAAACUGAACAGCUACUAAUGGAGCCAUUAGCAGAACUGACCAAAAUUGGGUGACCCAACCUCUGCACCGAAAGACCAGCCCGCGACACAAAAUCCUCCGAAACAAACGAAUAGCUAGCGCCAGAGUCAAAAAGAGCAUGGGCUGCAAAUGAAUCAACUGAAAUCGUACCUGUCACCAUGUCUCCUUGCUCCCUGCCAUCCGUAGCGGGUAGCACAUAAGCUCCAGAAAUACCCGCAGAAGAGGAAGCUCCCGGAGUGACAUUAACAGAAGAACCCCACUGAGCCACCGGAGGAGGCUGGCGCGGAGCUCCAAACUGAGACAGCACAUGGGUAGACGGCGCAGGAGUAGGCACAACCUGAUACUGCGGAAAACCUUGCAUCGGCACGAACUGAGAAGUCCCGGGCACAUAAAGCUGCUGUGGAGGAAGAGGAACUGAAAACUGCUGCUCAGCACUUGACAUCAUAUUGAUAGUGCCCUGAGAAGAGGAGGAAGCUAUCGGCUCCCAUCUGAGCUUCCCAUUGGGAUUCCUCCUACACACCACAUCCUUGUGGUCCUGACUGCAGAUAGAACACCUGCCACUCCACUGACACUCUGCACGGCGAUGCGCAUCUCCACACCGGAAACACACCAGCCCCAACCCGGGCUUAGGAACGGCCCGAAACCUCUGAGUACUUCCUCCUGAAGUACCUGAGUCAGAAGAUUUGCCACGGUAAGGAUGGUGGCGCUGAUGCUGAGACUUGCCCCUCUUGUGAGCUGGACCUCCAGUGUUGCCCCUCCUCGUGUCCUGGCUGCGAGGUUGAUCAGCACCCGAAGACUUCUGCGACUCCAUGGUGUACUGGUGUUGCAUCUCCACACCCAGCGCCUGCUCCACUGUGGUACGGAAGUCCACCAACGGAAAGGCCCCCAGAGCAUGCCUGAUAGAAGGCUUCAGACCCUGACGGAAUUGGCUCGCCUUCUCCAUCUCAUUAUAAGCCACAUGAGGGACAAAGCGGACCAUUUUGUUGAAGCCCACCUCAUACUCUGUGACAGACUUCUUCUCCUGCUUGAAGGACUGCAAGUCAAUCUUCAUUUUCUCCAGAAAGGUGACCGGGUAGAAUCUCCUUUCGAACUGCCUGAUGAAAACAUCCCAUGAUAGGACUCCUGGUGAGGAGGAGUGCGCUGCCUGCACGCCUCUCCACCAAAUCUGCGCCUCACCCUUCAGCAGCUGAGUGCCAAAGCGAACCCGAUCUUCAUAAGCAAUCUCGAAGACAUUCAUCUUAUCUUCCACAUAAGUCAGCCAAUCUGCCGCCUCGACCGGAGUACCACUGCCAUCAAAAGAAUCCAACUUCAUGCCCAUCCACUGCAUCAGAGAAAGACCACUGACAGGAAGAGGCACCCCGGCCCCGCCACCAGGAACAGCACCCGCAGGGACAGCGCCCCCGGGCACUUCUCCACCUCCAGCUCCCUGAGCAGCACCUGCAGGGGCGACAGGAAUGGCUUGCCUCAGAAGGGCCAACUCCUGCUGCAUGGCCUGCAUCGCGGCUAACAUUGCCGCCGGACUCAUCGAGUCCCCACUAGGAGCUUGCGGACUACCCCGAGCUCUACGAGGCGGCAUAGAUGUAUCCACAGGGAUGAGAAUAAUAAGUAUAUGAGAUAAGCAUAGCAUCUCUCUAGAUAAUGUCAAAACUAGCACAGAGAAUAACAUAAUCAUAUCAAUAGCAAGACCGAAAACCCAUCCUACAUGUGCAGUGUGGCAAUUUAUUACUACUCCACUUGCUAGGACCUACAGCCUAUCCUCUGAUACCAACUGUAACACCCCACUGAUCCCACACAAUGGAUGAUACCAAAAAAAAACCUUUCUACAAGACUCAUGCAACACAUAGAGAAAGAAAGUACUGCAAAAUCCGGCAGCACCUCCCUUGAAAGUAGCAUAACAAGGGAAGCAUAUAGUUUAUACAGGAUAUAAAAGAAAGAUAAUUGCCAUAGUAUAAUCAAAAUGCAACGGUAGAAAAAAACAUUCAUGACCAGACAAAAGAUAGACAUCUCAGCCCACCAAACUAAACAGUUCAACUACCAUGAAAGAUUAGAAUGUAAUAAUUCCCUAGACUUGACCCUUCCUGUUUAACAUCAUUAAUAAACAGUUAUUCCUUUAUUUAAAAGUGUGGUGGCCGUGCUGCUACAUCCCUUCUUCCCCAAAGCAAAGAUCAGGUGCCUGCAUCAGACAAUGCAAGAGUGAGAUGACACAUCUCAGCAAGUAAAAAAAAACAAACAACAGUUGGACAAUGCAAGCCAACCGUGCAUAAGCAACCACAUGGUUCCCCACUUCUUCCUUAAAUAUUAAUUUGCAGCAAGUAAGCAAGUAAUCAAUUACUCAAUGCCAAGAUGAAUUACAAAGUAAAGAUCCACCUUAUCCACAUCACCAAAAUAGGUUCCACACUUCACCCAUGAAUGCACAUGGCUACAGAUGCAACAUGACUUCUGCCUUCAUACCUCUAAGGAUAUGAAGCUGCAUCAUACCCCUUCUCGGGAAACAUAUGAUGCUCAUUUGUACCGGUACGGUCGGACCAUAAGAUCGCGACGAAAACUUCAAUGCAAUGGAUGAUGAAUGCAUUAUGCAUGUCAACAACAUGAGUUCUUCCCAAAUAAAAUGUGCUAGACAUAUACUUCCACCCAUUUCACAUCAAUAACCACAUGGGUAACAUGAUCAAACCACACCCUCCACAUGUAUAAUCAAUAAAGCAUAAAUAAUUUCAAACGAUGGUACCCAAUUAGGAAAAUGGAUACGAACACAAAUAGCACAAACAUAAUCAAGUAUGAGCCUCUUCAAUCAAAAGACGAAAUAACCAUCACUGUUUUACUUGCCUUUACCGAAGUUAGGGCAAAAUCCCUAAGAACGAUCCGGAAGUCCACCACCUGUUUUUGACACCCAACUUAGUGCACCAAAUUCUCAUGAAAAAAAACUCAAAGACAACACCGCACCUACGCGCAAUCUCAAACCCCGCCACGGUAACAAUUCUCCCCUCACUAACCAAACUGCAGCGGCGCUGCUUAACAAGUCCAUAACUUAAAAUUUAGGACAGCAGUGAUAAUAAACAAAAACUUCAGAGACAACUACAUAAAAUUCCCCACAAGUUUUAUAUACAACUCAUGAUUGAAUUCUAACAUCUACUUACCUCUAAACGGUCCUCAAAAUAAACCCUGCAAUCUGUUUUUUUCUGAUUUGAGCAGCGACAUACGCGGAUUCAAACAGCGAUAACUUUUAAAAUAUAAUUCCGAUUUGAGCGCAUAAGUACUUGUUGGAAAGAUAAGAAAAAGCCCUACAUGAUUCUCAUACUGAUUAACACUAAUUACUCCCGAAACAUCCCCAGAAACUGCUAACACUGCUGCUGUUCAUCACUCUGAAAAAUCUGUUUUCUGGACAGCCACAUACCCGGAUUCAAACGAUGAUAACUUUUAAUUUAUAACUCCAAAUUGAGCGCAUAAAUACUCGUUGGAAAGAUAAAACAAAGUUCUACAAGAUUCUAAUACUGAUUAACACUAAUUGCUCCCGAAAAAUUCCCAGAAACUGCUAACACUGCUGCUGUUCAUCACUCUGAAAAAUCUGUUUUCUGGACAGCCACGUACCCGGAUUCAAACGAUGAUAACUUUUAAUUUAUAACUCCAAAUUAAGCGCAUAAAUACUCGUUGGAAAGAUAAAACAAAGUUCUACAAGAUUCCCAAAUUGGUCCCCAUUAAAUCUUCACGAAAAAAAACUAAAAACUGCUGGAACUACCGCUGUUCAUCCACCACGCAAAAUUCUGGACAGCCCCCCCCCCCUCUAUCUAAUCGCAAACGCAACAUCUAAACCAUUGAAUCGCAGCGCAAAUGAACAAGGGAUGAACACAAAAGAAAAAUCACCUUGGGUUCUCCCCUUUUCCUUCCUCCCUUCUUCCUUCCACCAAAAUGAUUGGAGAUUCGCACCAAAAGACGAUGAUCCGAGCGGCACGGAGUAGCACCUAGGGAGGAGGGGAUUGGGGGGGGGGGCGGCUAGGGUUUUGGUGGCUGCAACAAUGGAGGGAGGAGGAGGUGGACAGGGGGGGCGGCGGCCAAGGGGAAAUGAGGAGUGGGGGGGGGGGGGGGCGGCAGCCUUGAGGGGGAGUAGAUAGGAGGGUGGCGGCUAGGGUUUGGGAGGCCUAAUGGGCUGAAACACCAAUUGCGGCCCAACUAACCCACGCGACAGCUCCCGACCGCAACGCAAAUGUCAAACCAAAAAAAAAUCUACUGCCCUAGUUGCGAAUGUUAUUCACAAAAUUCCAAAUCCCCAAAACAACAACUGGA
rnacentral:lncRNA from 1 species